GAAUGUUAACUCAUUGUUAGUAAGCAAUAAGUCAAUCAGGGCAUCAAUCGGGCAAUUGGGUUCAAAAUCAACCCAAGAACAAUCGUUGGAUCUAAACCUUACUUUGGGAUUAUCCAACUACAGCAAGCAAAUGAUUGAUUAUGAAAUAGCACCAUCUACGCAACGGAUUAAUAAUGAGAAUUCUGAGCCAAUUAGACAGGGUUUAUGAUAUCUCCUCGUCAAGAAAGGGAUUGCUCAGACAUCAAAUCUUCGAUAGUCUUUUGCUUGUAACUCACUUAACCUGUAAAUUGCUAAUUAAAAAAAAAAAAGAAAUUUCAUGUAAUAAGUUUAUAAUCUGCUCGUCAAGAAGGGGAUUGCUUUACCCUGAACCCA
rnacentral:lncRNA from 1 species